GUAAAUAUGGUUUAACAAAAACAUCAGAUUGUGAAUCUAAUGAUAGAAAUUCCACAUUUCUCAUUUGCA
rnacentral:tRNA from 1 species